rnacentral:rRNA from 1 species
CAAUAGCGUAUAUUAAAGUUGUUGCGGUUAAAAAGCUCGUAGUUGGAUUUCUGCUGAGAACGACCGGUCCGCCCUCUGGGUGUGUAUCUGGCUCUUUCUUGGCAUCUUCUUGGUGAACGUUGCUGCACUUGACUGUGUGGAGCGCUACCCAGGACUUUUACUUUGAGGAAAUUAGAGUGUUUCAAGCAGGCAUACGCCUUGAAUACAUUAGCAUGGAAUAAUAAGAUAGGACCUCGGUUCUAUUUUGUUGGUUUCUAGAGCUGAGGUAAUGAUUAAUAGGGAUAGUUGGGGGCAUUCGUAUUUAACUGUCAGAGGUGAACUUCUUGGAUUUGUUAAAGACGGACUACUGCGAAAGCAUUUGCCAAGGAUGUUUUCAUUGA